rnacentral:rRNA from 1 species
AUUGAACGCUGGCGGCAGGCCUAACACAUGCAAGUCGAGCGGAUGAAGGGAGCUCGCUCCUGGAUUCAGCGGCGGACGGGUGAGUAAUGCCUAGGAAUCCGCCCGGUAGUGGGGGAUAACGUCCGGAAACGGGCGCUAAUACCGCAUGCGUCCUGAGGGAGAAAGUGGGGGAUCUUCGGACCUCACGCUAUCAGAUGAGCCUAGGUCGGAUUAGCUAGUUGGUGGGGUAAAGGCUUACCAAGGCGACGAUCCGUAACUGGUCUGAGAGGAUGACCAGCCACACUGGAACUGAGACACGGUCCAGACUCCUACGGGAGGCAGCAGUGGGGAAUAUUGGACAAUGGGCGAAAGCCUGAUCCAGCCAUGCCGCGUGUGUGAAGAAGGUCUUCGGAUUGUAAAGCACUUUAAGUUGGGAAGAAGGGCAGUAAGUUAAUACCUUGCUGUUUUGACGUUACCAACAGAAUAAGCACCGGCUAACUUCGUG